rnacentral:rRNA from 1 species
AACGAACGCUGGCGGCGCGCCUAAUACAUGCAAGUCGAGCGAGAAGGUGUAGCAAUACACUUGUAAAGCGGCGAACGGGUGAGGAAUACAUGGGUAAUCUACCAUCGAGUGGGGAAUAACCAACCGAAAGGUUGGCUAAUACCGCGUACGCCUCCGAAUCUUCGGGUUCGGAGGGAAAGCUGCACUGUGAGUGUAGCGCUCUUUGAUGAGCUCAUGUCCUAUCAGCUUGUUGGUAGGGUAACGGCCUACCAAGGCUUUGACGGGUAGCUGGUCUGAGAGGACGAUCAGCCACACUGGCACUGCGACACGGGCCAGACUCCUACGGGAGGCAGCAGUAAGGAAUAUUGCGCAAUGGGCGAAAGCCUGACGCAGCGACGCCGCGUGGGGGAUGAAGGUCUUCGGAUUGUAAACCCCUUUCGGAGGGAAGAUGGAGCGAGCAAUCGUUCGGACGGUACCUCCAGAAGCAGCCACGGCCAACUUCGUGCCAGC